rnacentral:lncRNA from 1 species
UCCCCGGCCUCUCUUAUAGAUUGAACAUCAGCUUGUCGCCAACGUCGAGGUGGUGAAGAUCACCAAGAGGGAGGCAGCUCGGGCGGAUGAAGGUCACCUGGCUGAGGCCGCCCGCCUCGAGGAGAAGAUCGUCGAGGUCAUAAGUCUCUAGGAGGCACUGCAAAAGGAGGGACAAACCUCAUCCGAUCUGAGGACCGCCCU